rnacentral:lncRNA from 1 species
AGGCCGGCACUGCCUAGGUGGGCCGGGCGGUGCGAGGGUCGCCUUUCAGCCUUUACCUCUACCCACUGAAAUGGAGUAGGUCGGUGAGCGCCGAUCUGCUGGAGAAUCUCAUUAUCCCAUCGGCGCUCUGCCUGCUCCUGGCCUCCAAGCCUCUGAAGCCCCUCGGGUUUCAGCUGCCGGCUACCCUCGAGCCCGUGGUGCCCACGAGAGAGGCGACUUUACGUCAGCGGCCCUGGGCUGAGAUUUGAGAACGCGACCAAGUGGAGAAUGUUGGAGCCAGAUUUUAAAAUCCUUGUCUUCCUUCUGCGUGCUACUUGAUCUAAAUGAGAUACGGCAAAGUCACAGAACCUGUUUUUAUGUUUUUGCCUGAUUCAUACGGGCUUCUCCGGUGAAGAUGGGCCUGAAGUAACGCUUGGGUUGCUUCUGACGUUAUAACUCAUCCUGUAGCUGCAGCAACCGUGGUCCUUGCAACCUCAUAAAAAUGUUGCCAGCAUUGUUUCGAUAGUGCUGCUUAAUUCUUGGAAGGUUCUUCGGACUUCACACAUUCCAGCAGUAGCUCUCUCAGCUCCUGUCCUGCACAGCUUUGAAGUGCUGCGUCUUCAAAGUGUCUUCUGUAAAGACUUCUUCAGACUGUCAAUAGGAAGACUGAUAAACUCAGAGACUGCAUCUCACCAUGUUGCUCAGGCUGUUCUCGAACUCCUGGGCUCAAGCAAUCCUCCUACCUCAGCCUCUCAAAGUGUUGGGAUUAUAGAUGUGAGCCACUGUACCCGGCCCUGGUUGCAUUCUUCAUUAUUAGGAACAUAAGAGUCUAGCCCUGUCGCCCAGGCUGGAGUGCCAUGGUUUGAACUCUACUCACCGCAACCUCCACCUCCCAGGUUCAAAUGAUUCUCCUGCCUCAGCCUCCUGAAUAUCUGGGAUUACAGGUGUCUUUGUGAAGCUUCCUAUCUUUGCUUUUCAACUAAGAUGAAACAGCAUUUAAAAGAAAAUGCCAUGUGAGAUGAGAUCAGGAGAAUGGAUUCUUUCUUUCAUCUGAAUAGAGAGCUGCUGUUCGAGAUUCUAACUCAAAUAGCUCAAAGGACACCUUCUCCGGGAAACCUUCCCUGACUUCCGACGCUGUUUCCUGUUGGAUGUGGUCUUGGAAAAAUUGCUACUUUUUGAAGUCUUGAAGUCUCAAUUUCUUUACCUGCCCCCCCGCCCCAAAAGUCAUUGAAAUCUGUUGUGAAGAUGACAGGAAAUAAAGGGUAACCAGAACAUGAGUUCCACAGUAACUGGAACAUGAGAGGUAGAGCCAGAAGGGGCAUCUAUGUAAAUCAUUUGGAGUUUUUGCCUUUCCUCUUAGAAGAAAAAUAUGAAUGAUUUGACUGAACAGGCCUAUAGCCAAACCCAAGAUGAUCUUUCCAAGCGUGAACUCCAUCUUCAAACUUCUAAUCUUAAACCUUAAAGAAGAAACUAUGGCAAUGUCUCUUCCACCACUCUUGACUAGCAUGAUGUGUUGCCAAAAGACUUCAGAUCAUAAGUGCGAAAUAAAAAAUCAAAAAUUGACUGCAUCUUUUCUCAUUGCUCAACAACUGUCAAACAACUGAGAAAUUUGUUUUGGAUGAAGCAGUAACAUUCCUUCUUCCACUCCCAGCCCCAUUCCACGUAGUCUGCAGUUCCUCACUGACCACUGAUUGAUGUCAACGUGCAAACUCUCAGACAGAAGACAAGAAAUAUGUCCUGGGUUUUCUGGUUCCUCAAGCUUCUGACUAGGACCAGAGCCAGCAAUUACACACACUUAUCCCUAUUCUUUCCAUGAAUGCAGAGAAAGAAAGACCUUCUUGGGCUGUAAGAAAUACUCUAUUCCUCACACAUAAUAACUAAGGCUCAGCAGCUUGUAAAAAGGCAUGGUCCAGGGCAUGUCAGGACAAGGAAGAGCGGUAAGUUGUUUCUCUGUCUUUCCUCUGUAUUCUUUCAUAAUUGGGACAAGGCCUCAGCUGACAAGGAGCUGGCAGAACACUGGGGACAGCUGGUAUGUAAGAACCAACACCGUCCCAUCAGUCAUUUAUUCAACACAUGUUUAUUGAGUAUCUGCAACGUGACUGCACCGUUAUAGAGUCUGCAUUGUUGUAGGUCCUGAGAAAAAAACUGCAAAGCAAAAGUACACACAGGCUUGCCCUCCUGAAAUGUACAGUCAGGUGGAGAUGGCAGAUAUUAAGAAACUAACUUGUGCUAUUGAAGUUUAAAAGAAAGGGAUCUUACUGAGUCUGAGGAGAGGGAU